rnacentral:rRNA from 1 species
ACCCAGACUCCUACGGGAGGCAGCAGUGGGGAAUAUUGCACAAUGGGGGGAAACCCUGAUGCAGCGACGCCGCGUGAGCGAUGAAGUAUUUCGGUAUGUAAAGCUCUAUCAGCAGGGAAGAAAAUGACGGUACCUGACUAAGAAGCCCCGGCUAACUACGUGCCAGCAGCCGCGGUAAUACGUAGGGGGCAAGCGUUAUCCGGAUUUACUGGGUGUAAAGGGAGCGUAGACGGCUGUGCAAGCCAGAUGUGAAAGCCCGGGGCUCAACCCCGGGACUGCAUUUGGAACUGUGUGGCUGGAGUGUCGGAGAGGCAGGCGGAAUUCCUAGUGUAGCGGUGAAAUGCGUAGAUAUUAGGAGGAACACCAGUGGCGAAGGCGGCCUGCCGGACGAUGACUGACGUUGAGGCUCGAAAGCGUGGGGAGCAAACAGGAUUAGAUACCCUGGUA